ACGUAGGGAGCAAGCGUUGUCCGGAAUUACUGGGUGUAAAGGGAGCGUAGGCGGGGAGACAAGUUGGAUGUGAAAACUCUAGGCUCAACCUGGAGAUUGCAUUCAAAACUGUAUUUCUUGAGUGAAGUAGAGGCAAGCGGAAUUCCUAGUGUAGCGGUGAAAUGCGUAGAUAUUAGGAGGAACACCAGUGGCGAAGGCGGCUUGCUGGGCUUUUACUGACGCUGAGGCUCGAAAGUGUGGGGAGCAAACAG
rnacentral:rRNA from 1 species